UGAGGAAUAUUGGUCAAUGGGCGAGAGCCUGAACCAGCCAAGUAGCGUGAAGGAUGACUGCCCUAUGGGUUGUAAACUUCUUUUAUAAAGGAAUAAAGUCGGGUAUGGAUACCCGUUUGCAUGUACUUUAUGAAUAAGGAUCGGCUAACUCCGUGCCAGCAGCCGCGGUAAUACGGAGGAUCCGAGCGUUAUCCGGAUUUAUUGGGUUUAAAGGGAGCGUAGAUGGAUGUUUAAGUCAGUUGUGAAAGUUUGCGGCUCAACCGUAAAAUUGCAGUUGAUAAUGGAUAUCUUGAGUGCAGUUGAGGCAGGCGGAAUUCGUGGUGUAGCGGUGAAAUGCUUAGAUAUCACGAAGAACUCCGAUUGCGAAGGCAGCCUGCUAAGCUGCAACUGACAUUGAGGCUCGAAAGUGUGGGUAUCAAACAGG
rnacentral:rRNA from 1 species